UACUGACGCUAAAGCUCGAAGGUGCGGGUAUCGAACAGGAUUAGAUACCCUGGUAGUCCGCACGGUAAACGAUGGAUGCCCGCUGUUCGCGAUAUACAGUGAGCGGCCAAGAGAAAUCGUUAAGCAUCCCACCUGGGGAGUACGCCGGCAACGGUGAAACUCAAAGGAAUUGACGGGGGCCCGCACAAGCGGAGGAACAUGUGGUUUAAUUCGAUGAUACGCGAGGAACCUUACCCGGGCUUGAACUGCAGGAGAAGGAUACAGAGAUGUUGACGCCCUUCGGGGCUCCUGUGGAGGUGCUGCAUGGUUGUCGUCAGCUCGUGCCGUGAGGUGUCGGCUUAAGUGCCAUAACGAGCGCAACCCUUUUCGUCAGUUGCCAUCAGGUGAUGCUGGGCACUCUGGCGACACUGCCACCGUAAGGUGUGAGGAAGGUGGGGAUGACGUCAAAUCAGCACGGCCCCUACGUCCGGGGCUACACACGUGUUACAAUGGGGCAUACAGAAGGCCGGUCGCCCGCAAGAGCGAUCCAAUCUAAAAAGUGUCCCUCAGUUCGGAUUGGGGUCUGCAACCCGACCCCAUGAAGCUGGAUCGCUAGUAAUC
rnacentral:rRNA from 1 species